UGGGGAAUAUUGCACAAUGGGCGCAAGCCUGAUGCAGCCAUGCCGCGUGUAUGAAGAAGGCCUUCGGGUUGUAAAGUACUUUCAGCGGGGAGGAAGGUGUUGAGGUUAAUAACCUCAGCAAUUGACGUUACACGCAGAAGAAGCACCGGCUAACUCCGUGCCAGCAGCCGCGGUAAUACGGAGGGGGCAAGCGUUAAUCGGAAUUACUGGGCGUAAAGCGCACGCAGGCGGUCUGUCAAGUCGGAUGUGAAAUCCCCGGGCUCAACCUGGGAACUGCAUUCGAAACUGGCAGGCUAGAGUCUUGUAGAGGGGGGUAGAAUUCCAGGUGUAGCGGUGAAAUGCGUAGAGAUCUGGAGGAAUACCGGUGGCGAAGGCGGCCCCCUGGACAAAGACUGACGCUCAGGUGCGAAAGCGUGGGGAGCAAACA
rnacentral:rRNA from 1 species